rnacentral:misc_RNA from 2 species
CCGAGUGAGGGCCCCCGGCCCGACCUCCAACCCUUUGUGAUUUGACUGUGUUGCCUCGGGGGCGACCCGGCGCUCACCGGCGCCGGGGCCCCCGGUGGACCCCAACCAACUCUUGCGUCUCGACGUCGGUGAAUUGAUGAAUAUCAAA